ACGUUAGCGGCGGACGGGUGAGUAACACGUGGGUAACCUACCUAUAAGACUGGGAUAACUUCGGGAAACCGGAGCUAAUACCGGAUAAUAUUUCGAACCGCAUGGUUCGAUAGUGAAAGAUGGUUUUGCUAUCACUUAUAGAUGGACCCGCGCCGUAUUAGCUAGUUGGUAAGGUAACGGCUUACCAAGGCGACGAUACGUAGCCGACCUGAGAGGGUGAUCGGCCACACUGGAACUGAGACACGGUCCAGACUCCUACGGAGGCAGCAGAU
rnacentral:rRNA from 1 species